UGGGGAAUAUUGCACAAUGGGCGAAAGCCUGAUGCAGCAGCGCCGCGUGAGUGAUGAAGGCCUUCGGGUUGUAAAGCUCUGUCUUCUGGGACGAUAAUGACGGUACCAGAGGAGGAAGCCACGGCUAACUACGUGCCAGCAGCCGCGGUAAUACGUAGGUGGCAAGCGUUGUCCGGAUUUACUGGGCGUAAAGGAUGCGUAGGCGGAUACUUAAGUCAGAUGUGAAAAUCCCGGGCUUAACUUGGGAACUGCAUUUGAAACUGGGUAUCUAGAGUGCGGGAGAGGAAAGUGGAAUUCCUAGUGUAGCGGUGAAAUGCGUAGAGAUUAGGAAGAACACCAGUGGCGAAGGCGACUUUCUGGACCGUAACUGACGCUGAGGCAUGAAAGCGUGGGGAGCAAAC
rnacentral:rRNA from 1 species